rnacentral:misc_RNA from 1 species
GAUGAAGAACGCAGCGAAAUGCGAUACUUGGCGUGAAUUGCAGAAUCCCGUGAACCAUCGAGUCUUUGAACGCAAGUUGCGCCCGAAGCCAUUAGGCCGAGGGCACACCUCCCUGGGCGUCACACGUCGUUGCCCCCCCAUCUACUCCUUCGGGAUUGCGGGGGGCGGAUGAUGGCCUCCCGUGCGCCUCGUCGCGCGGUUGGCAUAAAUGCCAAGUCCUCGGCGACGCACGCCACGACAAUCGGUGGUUGCGAAACCUCGGUUGCCCGUCGUGUGCGGUCGUCGCGCAUCGAGGGCUCGAAAAAAUUGCCGGGCUCCGGCUCGGCUUUCAACGCGACCCCAUGUCAGGCGGGGUUACCCGCUGAAUUUAAGCAUAUCAAUAAGCGGAGGA